rnacentral:rRNA from 1 species
UACGUAGGGUGCAAGCGUUGUCCGGAAUCAUUGGGUUUAAAGGGUCCGUAGGCGGUUUAGUAAGUCAGUGGUGAAAGCCCAUCGCUCAACGGUGGAACGGCCAUUGAUACUGCUGAACUUGAAUUAUUAGGAAGUAACUAGAAUAUGUAGUGUAGCGGUGAAUGCUUAGAGAUUACAUGGAAUACCAAUUGCGAAGGCAGGUUACUACUAAUGGAUUGACGCUGAUGGACGAAAGCGUGGUAGCGAACAGG